rnacentral:rRNA from 1 species
GGUAUUUUGACUAUACGAAGGUAUUGAAAUAAGAUUUUAAAUGAGUGCUAAGAGAAUGAUUAAACAAUUAAAAGCUUUCUUUAAUUGAAUAAUUGAAUUUAAUUUUUUAGUGCAAAAGCAAAAAUAAAAAUUAGGGACAAGAAGACCCUAUGAAUUUUUUAUUAAAUUUUAUAAAACUUUAUAUAAAAUUUAAUUUAAUUGGGGUGAUGGAAAAAGAAUAAAUAUCUUUUUUUUAAAAAAAAAUUGGUUCCGUUUUUAGCGAUUAAAUGAAAAAAAUACUCUAGGGAUAACAGCGUAAUAAUUUUGGAUAGUUCAUAUAGAUAAAAUAGUUUGCGACCUCGAUGUUGGAUUAGGAUUCUUUUUUGGUGAAGAAGU